UCCCUGGUGGCUCAGAGGUUAAAGCGUCUGCCUGCAAUGUGGGAGACCUGGGUUCGAUCUCUCGGUCGGGAAG
rnacentral:tRNA from 1 species